rnacentral:rRNA from 1 species
GUGCCAGCAGCCGCGGUAAUACGAGGGGUGCAAGCGUUGUCCGGAAUUAUUGGGCGUAAAGAGUUCGUAGGCGGUGAUUCAAGUCUGAUGUUAAAUACUGGAGCUUAACUCCGGCAUGGCAUUGGAAACUGGAUCGCUAGAGUGUGUCAGAGGUAACUGGAAUUCCAGGUGUAGCGGUGAAAUGCGUAGAUAUCUGGAGGAACACCGGUGGCGAAAGCGAGUUACUGGGACAUUACUGACGCUGAGGAACGAGAGCCAGGGUAGCAAAAGGGAUUAGAUACCCCUGUAGUCCUGGCCGUAAACGAUGGAUACUAGGUGUUGGCGGAUUCGACCCCGUCAGUGCCGUAGCUAACGCGAUAAGUAUCCCGCCUGGGGAGUACGCUCGCAAGAGUGAA